UGCUGCAAGGGCAAGACCAAGUAAAGGGCUGGGCCUGAAGGACCAGAAAAUACCAUCUUCUACUCAUAUUAAUAUUCAUUCUCAAGUAGAGCCUGUUCAGUGUGGCUGGCACACACACGCAUCUUGGAAACUGGCAAAGAGGAAACCGAGAUUCAUUCAUAGAGGCAGCUCAAGACUGGUUCAUAGGCGUGCCGGCCACCUGGGUGCUUGGAGCUCUUUCCUGACCUGUCCAUGCCUCCUGCUGACCAUGUGGAUGGUCACGUGGCCUCCUCUUUUUAAAAAAAUAUUUAUUUAUUUGGCUGUGUUGGGUCUUAGUUGUUCCACGCGGGGUUUUUGUUGCAGCACAUGGGCUCAGUAGUCGAGGUACGCAGUCUUAGUUGUCCUGCAGCAAGUGGGAUCCUAGUGCCCUGACCAGGGAUCAAACCCACGUGCCCUGCACUGGGAGGUGGAUUCUUAACCACUGGGCCACCAGGGAAGUCCCCGUGUGCCUCCUCUUUCCUCAUCGUGUCAAAUAUGACUGAUGGGAUACAGGAUGCAAGACCUCGGAAAGAAUGAGUGGGGUGUGGAGAUGCUUCCCAUGAGGGACCAAGAGCUGUCCCUCUACAUGCUUCCCCACCCCCAUAACAGGCUAGUCAAGCCCUUGGUCUACCUUCCAGCUUGCCCAUCCCAUGUCCUUCAGCGGACUUCCCUUCCUAACGAAGGACGUUGGCAUGAACAAAGCAUCUCCAGCGCCUGCCUCCUCGCCUCCUGCUGCUGUGGCUGUCUCCCCACCUGAAGCCAUAAAUACAUAUGCAAAGGCCAGUAUGUUAAUUUGUGUUUAAGCACGGAGCCCGGACGCCACCGAGAAAGGGCAUUAGGCGGUGGCCGUGGGUGGGAGGCAACAGAUGGCCUGAUUGCUUUUACCUGUUGCUAAUUUGUUGGGCACCGAUUCCUCGUUUGGGCUUAAUUGUGCCCAGACCUCCCCAGACAGCAGGGUGCCGGACAUUGGACGGCCCUCGGGUACGCACAUGGGGCGAUGAGUCAGGCGCCUGCCUGGCAGUGAAAUGUCUGCCUUGUUCUCUCCUGAUUGGGCUCUGAUCCCUCUCCCGGGCCAGGCACUCAGGACCCUCGGGGCACAAGCUGCAGUGAGGAGGGGGCUGGCAGCGGGGCAGCAGGCCUGACCCUUAUGUUAAUCAGCUGUGUGACCUUGGGUGGGUCGCUUAGCAUCUCUGGGCCCCAUCUGCCUGAUGGGGAAAUGAGCCUAGUCACACCUGCCCUAUCUACUUCGCAGGGUUGCUGUGAGCGUGCGCUGAGAUAAUGGACCUGGGAAGCACUUUGACAUGUGGAAGCCUCUCUAAUAGGGAGGCAUUAUUUGCCAGCGGAGCGGUUAAGAGCUUGGAUUCUGGAGUCAGUGAGACUGGGGCUGAAUUCUUCUUUAAAAAUUUUUUUUGUUUAUGGCUGUGCUGGGUCUUCAUUGCUGUGCACGGUCUUUCUCUCGUUAACGGUGAAUGGGGGCUGCUUUUCAUCACGGUGUGUGGGCUUCACAUCGUGGUGGCUUCAGUGCUUGUGGCUCCCGGGCUCUAGAGCACAGGCUCAAUAAUUGUGGCCCACAGGCUUAGCUGCCCCGCGGCACAUGGGAUCUUCCCGGGCCAGGUACUGAACCUGUGUCCCCUGCAUUGGCCGGUGGCUUCUUGACCACUGGACCACCAGGGAAGCCCCAGGACUGAAUUCUGACUGCCACUUAUAACUGUGAGGCCUUGGGCAAGAAAACUCAAGCUUCUGGAGCCUCAGUUUCCCCACCUGUGCUCUGGGUGAGACUAGCCCCUACUUCAGGGCUAUUGGGAGGAGCAAAGAAGUUAAUGCACCUGCUGGUCCGGCCCUGUGUCCCCAGAAUGCAGCCCCGGGCCGCUAUAAGCCUCAGACAGAUGUGUGACGCGCAGAACACCAGCAACGGAGGCCUCUUACACAGUGCUUUGUUGUCGUUACUGUUUAAUCACUGAGUCAAGUCCAGCUCUUUGCGGCCCCAUGGACUGCCGCUCGCCAGGCUCCGCUGUCCACGGGCUUUCCCAGGCAAGAAGACUGCGGUGGGUUAUUUCCUUCUCCAGGGCAUCUUCCCGACCCAGGGAUCGAACCCGCCUUUGGCAGGUGGAUUCUUUACCACUAAGCCACCCAGGAGUUACUUCCUGUGUGUCAAUCACUGUUCUGUGCGCUUUACAUGCAUUGACUCCUUUAAUCCUCACGACAGCCCUGCCAGGCUGCUAUCAUGACUGUUCCCAGUUGUGAGACUGGGGCAUGGAGAUGUUCACGCACUAGCCUGCAAUCUGCAGGAGGUCAGAGGCAAAGCUGGGGAUUGAGUCUUGCUCCUCAGACUCCAGAGUUGUUCUCUUAACACCCAGAGGCGUCCAAAAUAAUAGUCUCUCGACCUCUGCUUUGCCAAAACUUCUGGAAAAUUCUACGCUCUGUUAUGAACAAGGCCCCUUUUCAGUGGACGAUCGUCCUCUCAGGAAGCCCCCUGAGCUGAGAAUGGAUAUCUCCUUGGUCGGCUUGAGGCAGGAGGUAGAUAGAUGCCCCCUCCACCCCACUGCCAGGGUAAAACAAUUGGAGAUUCAUUCUCUGUGAACUGAAACUCCAAGACCAGAAUAGCAGGACAGUUAAGGCAGGAAGCUGGGCCCUGCCCAGGCCACAUCUCUCUCAUUCUCGAUGUGAGGAGACCUGCCCGACCACACAGGCACAGAAAAGCUCCUUGGAGAUCAAAGGGUAGUGAUGUCAAGGGAUGAUCUACCCAUAGGCCUUUGUGGUAGGAUCCAUCUUGGCUAAGAGAUGCGUGCGCAGACAUGGGAGGAUCCUCAGAUGCAUCAAAUAUGGACUGGGAACCAGGCAAAUCAAAUGAUGAGCCAAAGGAAAACCAGAUGAAAUGCCCCAUAAACGUAAUUCAAACUGCCAUGCGGGUGUGACUCUGACUCUCUCUCUCUGAGCCUGCCCAUCUGUCUAUCCACACAUACUGUACCCUUUUUUUCUCCUAAUAAAUACUUUAUUUGCUUCA